UACGUAGGGUGCGAGCGUUAAUCGGAAUUACUGGGCGUAAAGCGUGCGCAGGCGGUCCGCAAAGUCUGAUGUGAAAGCCCCGGGCUCAACCUGGGAACUGCAUUGGAAACUAACGGGCUCGAGUGUGGCAGAGGGGGUGGAAUUCCACGUGUAGCAGUGAAAUGCGUAGAGAUGUGGAGGAACACCGAUGGCGAAGGCAGCCCCCUGGGCUAACACUGACGCUCAGGCACGAAAGCGUGGGGAGCAAACAGG
rnacentral:rRNA from 1 species